rnacentral:rRNA from 1 species
GACGUAGGGCGCGAGCGUUGUCCGGAUUUAUUGGGCGUAAAGAGCUCGUAGGCGGCUUGUUACGUCGUUCGUGAAAACUUGGGGCUCAACCCCAAGCUUGCGGUCGAUACGGGCAGGCUAGAGUUCGGUAGGGGAGACUGGAAUUCCUGGUGUAGCGGUGAAAUGCGCAGAUACCAGGAGGAACACCGGUGGCGAAGGCGGGUCUCUGGGCCGAUACUGACGCUGAGGAGCGAAAGCGUGGGGAGCGAACAGG